UAGCAGUGGAGUAUGUUAUUUAAUUUGAUAAUCCCCAAAAAUCUUACCACAUCUUGAAUAUUAUCUUAAAUGAUAUUACAGGCGUUACAUAGUUGUCUUCAGUUCGUGCUGUGAAGUUUAAGGUUAGUUCCGUAAACGAACGCAUUCCUGUAUAAAUAUUUAAAUAUUUAUAAUUCUUUAUUUAAAUGCAUAAAGAGAAUAGGUUUAAGACAAAUCAUUAUGACCCUAAUGUUGUGGGCUAUAGACGUACUAUAAAAUAAUAUAUAAAAUUUAAUUAAAUAGUGAUAUUUAAUGAUAAAUACAACUUAUUAAAAUAUGUUAUAUAUUAAUAUAUAAUUUUAGUAUGAAUUAUAUCCUGUAAUUCGGAUAUAUGAAACAAGAAUUGCUAGUAAUCUGUAAUUAAGUAUAUUACGGUGAAUAUUAUUAAUUGUUUCGCUACUAAUUACUCGUCACGCGGUAAAUUAAAAUAAAUAACAAAAAUAAAUAUUAUAUUUUUAAUCCUUUAUUAUUAAAUAAUUGUUUUGAUUUUAUAAUUUUAUUUAGUUAUCUGUUUUAUA
rnacentral:rRNA from 1 species